rfam:Gossypium hirsutum cultivar TM-1 chromosome 5, whole genome shotgun sequence
AAUCCAUGAUGAGGACACCUUCUCAAAAGAUCCUUAAAUUUCUCCCAUGCAUCAUAUAAUGUCUCCAAAUCAAUUUGACCAAAAAAAGAGAUAUCAUUCAUCAACUU